CCAAUGCUUACACCAAUCAAAUGCUUACACCAAUCAAAUGCUUACACCAAUCAAAUGCUUACACCAAUCAAAUGCUUACACCAAGCCAAUGCUUACACCAAGCCAAUGCUUGCUUACACCAAGCCAAUGCUUGCUUACACCAAGCCAAUGCUUGCUUACACCAAGCCAAUGCUUACACCAAGCCAAUGCUUUUAAAGCCGUGACGGGGAGAGCGCAAGUGUGUCUCGUUUGAGACCAGCUACUACUCAUUGAGGCAUCAGGUAACCGUUUAGAGGCAAGUCGGUAAACGGAGGGUUGCCAGUUUGAAUCCCAGGUCUGAAAGGAAAAAUCUUGCUGGACGUGAGGUGGCAACCGGAGGGUUGCUGGUAUCAAAGUCUAGAUGUCAUUGCCUGUCGUUGUGCCCUUGAGCAUAAGACCUAACCCCCCACAACAACUGCUCCUCGGGAGCCCUAGCUGCGGUCGAGUCUGCAACGACCGGAUGUUCCGGUUUUCAGGGGAAAUGUAACGAGCCUGUGACACGACUUCAGCGUUUGGACAUUGACGGGAUUGGUUGAACAGUGCAGAAAUGAAAAAACAGCUUUUCUUCUUGUCAAGACCAGUACAUAGGCCUGACACGUUAGGUUAGGCCCCAGUGUAACAGGUUAUGCCCCAGUGUAACAGCCUCAGUGUAACAGGUUAUGCCCCAGUGUAACAGCCCCAGUGUAACAGGUUAGGCCCCAGUGUAACAGGUUAUGCCCCAGUGUAACAGCCCCAGUGUAACAGGUUAGGCCCCAGUGUAACAGCCCCAGUGUAACAGGUUAGGCCCCAGUGUAACAGCCCCAGUGUAACAGGUUAGGCCCCAGUGUAACAGGUUAGGCCCCAGUGUAACAGGUUAGGCCCCAGUGUAACAGCCCCAGUGUAACAGGUUAGGCCCCAGUGUAACAGCCCCAGUGUAACAGGUUAGGCCCCAGUGUAACAGCCCCAGUGUAACAGGUUAGGCCCCAGUGUAACAGCCCCAGUGUAACAGGUUAGGCCCCAGUGUAACAGCCCCAGUGUAACAGGUUAUGCCCCAGUGUAACAGGUUAGGCCCCAGUGUAACAGGUUAGGCCCCAGUGUAACAGCCCCAGUGUAACAGGUUAGGCCCCAGUGUAACAGCCCCAGUGUAACAGGUUAUGCCCCAGUGUAACAGGUUAGGCCCCAGUGUAACAGGUUAGGCCCCAGUGUAACAGCCCCAGUGUAACAGGUUAGGCCCCAGUGUAACAGGUUAGGCCCCAGUGUAACAGGUUAUGCCCCAGUGUAACAGGUUAGGCCCCAGUG